GACGAACGCUGGCGGCGUGCUUAACACAUGCAAGUCGAACGGAAAGGCCUGCUUUCCCUUGUGGAUUGCGGGUACUCGAGUGGCGAACGGGUGAGUAACACGUGAGUGAUCUGCCCCCAACUUGGGUAUAAGCCUGGGAAACUGGGUCUAAUUCCCGAUAGGACUGCAGGGUGGUGCCUGUGGUGGAAAACGAUUUUCUAGUGGUUGGGGAUGAGCUCUCGGCCUAUCGGGUUGUUGGUGGGGUAAUGGCCUACCAAGGCUGGGACGGGUAGCCGGCCUGGGAGGGUGGACGGCCACAUUGGGACUGAGAUACGGCCCAGACUCCUACGGGAGGCAGCAGUGGGGAAUAUUGCACAAGGGGCGGAAGCCUGAUGCAGCGACGCCGCGUGGGGGAUGACGGCCUUCGGGUGGUAAACUCCUUGCGACCGCGAGGAAGCCACCUGGUUGGAAGGGUGGUGACGGUAGUGGUAGAAGAAGCACCGGCUAACUACGUG
rnacentral:rRNA from 1 species